AGGAUGUGGCUUAGUGGUAGACGAUCUGCUUCGUAAGCAAAAGGUUGUAAGUUCGAUCCCUGGCAUCUCUA
rnacentral:tRNA from 1 species